UACAGAGGGUGCAAGCGUUGUUCGGAAUUACUGGGCGUAAAGCGAGUGUAGGCGGUCUACUAAGUCGGGUGUGAAAGCCCUGGGCUCAACCCAGGAAGUGCACUCGAAACUGGUGGGCUAGAGUAUCGGAGAGGUUGGUGGAAUUCACGGUGUAGCAGUGAAAUGCGUAGAUAUCGUGAGGAAGACCAGUGGCGAAGGCGGGUCUCUGGACAGUUCCUGACACUGAGGCACGAAGGCCAGGGGAGCAAACGGG
rnacentral:rRNA from 1 species